UCAAUGUGAGGUUACGGGCCCGGUCUGGAUUUAUGUCCCUUUGACACCGCACACGUGAGACAGUCGCUGCUCCCACAGCCUGCCGUCACCCGGGCAGGGACCCGGCUGGGGGACGGGGGGUUUCCUUGGCCGUGCCGAGGUGGAGCUGCCCCCAUCCUGCCCCUCCUCAUGGGGAACAGUUUUUCCCUUGUAUCAGAAUUUCCCUGAGAAAUUCCAGAGGCUGCUUUGCUCCCCCAGCCCUCUGGCGCGAAGGUGACCUUUCCCGACUUCUUCAGCCGCUCGCCAGAUCUUUAAGCGCCCAUAAGCGCUGCCCUGUGGAUGGGUCACCUCUUCCAAUCCGAUGGAGAAGUUUGUCUGCCACUGCAAACACGUGCCCACAGACAUUAAAUCUCUGCAAUUAAUCACGGGGACAGUGUGGGAACAGGCUGGUGAGGUCCUUGCUGUCUCUUAAAGGCGAGAUCUUCCUUUCCAUCAGUUCUCCACCGCUAGCAACAGUUCCUUAAUUCCUCACACCGUUCCUCUGUAUUAAAAAUGUUUAGUUUUGAUUUCACUGCUUUAAAUAAAGGCAGCGCUUCGUGCUGUUCUUGGGCUGUGCUUUGUAAAGCAGUCGUUUCAGAGGACAAUUCCUGUGCGCCAGACGCCUGUUACCAGCACCGUUCCCAGCGACCGCGCACGCAUCCCUGAGUUUUCAAGUGACAUCAUUGCAGUGAUGGGGGAUCAGAGCCCAGGGAUCCGUCUGCGGGAUCCGCCUGCCUGGCGGCUGGUGCUCGCAGCCCCUUUGAUGCUCGUCUUCAGAUGUGUCACCGCAACACGCCGCUUGGAUCUCUCCCAGCGGAACGCGCUGAAGUAAACUUGAUAAUGAAAAGAGCCUUGAUGUUCACCUGCUCCCGCUCGCACUGGAGGAAAAAAUAGAGACUUUCUUAUUCAAAUGAGUUGCUGGUUUCAUUCAAUCUGCCCGCGCUGAGGGAGGCAGAGCUUCCCGCGGGCUGCACCGUCGCACCUGUGGGCUCCGGGCUCCAUCUCCGCGGGUCAGGCGGUCGACGCUCUGCUCCUCUUCCAGUUCAGAAUGCUGAGCACAAGCAUUUGAUUCAUCAAAUCUUUUUAAUGCAAAGCUAAAAAUAGCAGUUUAAAAUCCUCAAUCAUAUAUAAUUAGUCCUGCGUAUAUUUUUCAACAGAUGUUCCGUCCCCGUUGCUGUUGAAUAGAGGCGCGUUGAAUGGUGUCAAUGGUGUCUCUGUCUGUGGUCGGGAGGGAGGGAACCUGCAGGAUUUCAGCUUUCCCACGGGAAUGCUUCCUGAAGGCACCGCAGUGAUUCCCCGCAGCACCUUUGCUCCAGCCUCCACAGACACAUUUUCUUUCCGUGGACAAGGGCUGAAUUCCCCAGAGAGUUUUCACUUGGAAGUUUCAGAGGCAUAAGAGGCACAGGAGUCCCUUAGACAGGGCACAGCGCUGAGAGGUGAACCGGGCAGCUCCGGCCAUUCGGGUUUGGGUCACCAGAGGAGGCCGCCGGGGGACGGGCAGGAGCCUGCGGGCGGCGAGGGGGGCUGCGGUCCUCAACCCCCCUGCGCUGAACGUCGGCGUCUGCUGCUGCCUGGCAGGGAGGAAAGAGGAGCUGCACAAAACUGUUGUCAUUUUCUCUUCUUCACUUCUAUUGUGGAUUUUCCUGAAUGAAUUAGAGGCUGCCAGCACACGCUGUCACAGCAGAAUGGCAGAAC